ensembl:lncRNA
GAAGUGCGCAUGAUAUUUUUUAUGAAACAUUUUAAGACAGCAGUCCAUGGGCUGGCAUUGUGACAGGUUACUGUGGCUGGCUUUAACACUGAGCUAAUAAUGGAGCCCAGAGGGCAGAACUGGAAUGAACAGUGGCCACAGAACCAGCGAUCAGAUCACAGAGUCAGAGAUGAGCAGUACAGGUCUCAUCACACAGGAAAACAAGGCCAUUACCCUCCUGCAGAUGUAAGGGACAGCGAGAGACGGUGGUAUGCAACAGAUCCGCGCUACAUGUACUACAUGAGUGGUCCUCCUGCAGAGUUUAGCACGGCAUACCGCAGCCAAACCUACACACCUGACCGAGCUCAAUCACACUCCAGGCAGGGAUAUGAUUAUCCUCCCCAGAGUUACUGGGACUACAGGAAUGACUACAGCUACUAUGAUCAUGGCUACUACAGAGGCCAUUAUGGAUACCCAGCAGCCUCAGAUACCAGUGGAAGGCCGGUGCAGGGAUGGAGGACAGAGGGGCAUCAGGAGUGGUCAGGAGCCACAUACACCCAUCAGCAUGGGUAUGAGCUCAGAAGAGACAGUGGACAGUAUGAAGGUGGUGUUCCUGUGAGAGAAUGCGUGGAAACCAGGAAUGAAGCCAGAGAGGUGUCUGAACUUGGAUGCUUAGAAAGUUCUAAAACCUCUGGCCUGUCAUCCAGCACCUACGAACUCAGCCAGUACAUCAAUGGAGACGAGCAGAGCAAUGCUCCACCUCCAGCUCAC